UAACGCGUGGGGAACCUGCCUUUCAGAGGGGGGACAACAGUUGGAAACGACUGCUAAUACCGCAUAACACAUAGGUGUCGCAUGGCAUUUAUGUCAAAGAUUUAUCGCUGAAAGAUGGCCUCGCGUCUGAUUAGCUAGUUGGUGAGGUAACGGCUCACCAAGGCGACGAUCAGUAGCCGGACUGAGAGGUUGGCCGGCCACAUUGGGACUGAGAUACGGCCCAGACUCCUACGGAAGGCAGCAG
rnacentral:rRNA from 1 species